rnacentral:rRNA from 1 species
UACGUAGGGGGCGAGCGCUGUCCGGAAUUAUUGGGCGUAAAGCGCGUGUAGGCGGUCCGGUAAGUCCGCUGUGAAAGUCGGGGGCUCAACCCUCGAAUGCCGGUGGAUACUGUCGGGCUAGAGUGCGGAAGAGGCGAGUGGAAUUCCUGGUGUAGCGGUGAAAUGCGCAGAUAUCAGGAGGAACACCAAUGGCGAAGGCAGCUCACUGGGACGGUACUGACGCUGAGACGCGAAAGCGUGGGGAGCAAACAGG